rnacentral:rRNA from 1 species
UACGGGGGGGGCAAGCGUUGUUCGGAAUUACUGGGCGUAAAGGGCUCGUAGGCGCCAACUAAGUCGGACGUGAAAUCCCUCGGCUUAACCGGGGAACUGCGUCCGAUACUGGAUGGCUUGAGUUUGGGAGAGGGAUGCGGAAUUCCAGGUGUAGCGGUGAAAUGCGUAGAUAUCUGGAGGAACACCGGUGGCGAAGGCGGCAUCCUGGACCAACACUGACGCUGAGGAGCGAAAAGCCAGGGGGAGCAAACGGG